ensembl:lncRNA
CUUCAUUUGGGAGAUGGAGUGUUCUGUAGCUAGAAAUCCUAUUGCUAGCUGGAUCUGUUUCUCCACAGUCACACUGCUUUCCUGAAGAAUACUGACAAGUUUAGCAAGAAAUGGGAGAAAAUGAUGGGUAUCAAUACUUAGAAAUGAUUAUAUUAUUAUGAUAUAUACACUGAUGCAGGAAUCACUGUUGUUAACAAUGAGGUCAAACAAGGAAUGCGAGUGGUGGUGGUAGGGAGAAAACAGAAGCAGAACUUGAUAUAGAUGGGAGGCAGAGCAAGAUCUCAGACCAGCUGUUGUCCUAACUAAAAAGCCUUUACAAGUAUUCCUGAGCAUUAUUUUCAUUAAUUCAUGCUCCCUCCACUGCCUUUAAAUAAACGAA